rnacentral:rRNA from 1 species
CCCGCUGAACUUAAGCAUAUCAAUAAGCGGAGGAAAAGAAACCAACAGGGAUUGCCUCAGUAACGGCGAGUGAAGCGGCAACAGCUCAAAUUUGAAAUCUGGCUCCCUCGGGGCCCGAGUUGUAAUUUGUAGAAGAUGCUUCGGGUGUGGUUCUGGUCUAAGUUCCUUGGAACAGGACGUCAUAGAGGGUGAGAAUCCCGUAUGUGACCUGGUACCUAUGCCCAUGUGAAGCUCUUUCAACGAGUCGAGUUGUUUGGGAAUGCAGCUCAGAACGGGUGGUAAAUUUCAUCUAAAGCUAAAUACUGAACAUAGAUCUACAGCGCACAACUAGAGUGAUCGAAAGAUUAAAAGCACUUUGGAAAGAGAGUUAAACAGUACGCGAAAUUGUUGAAAGGGAAGCGCUUGCGACCAGACUUGCGCACCGUCGAUCAUCCGGUGGUCUCCCCGGUGCACUCGACUCUGCUCAGGCCAGCAUCGGUUCUGGUGGUUGGAUAAAGGCCUUGGGAAUGUAGCUCCCCUGGGGAGUGUUAUAGCCCUCGGUGCAAUGCAGCCCACCGGGACCGAGGACCGCGCUCCGGCUAGGAUGCUGGCGUAAUGGUUGCUAGCGACCCGUCUUGAAACACGG